UGGGGAAUAUUGGACAAUGGGGGGAACCCUGAUCCAGCCAUGCCGCGUGUGUGAAGAAGGCCUUUUGGUUGUAAAGCACUUUAAGCGAGGAGGAGGCUACCGAGAUUAAUACUCUUGGAUAGUGGACGUUACUCGCAGAAUAAGCACCGGCUAACUCUGUGCCAGCAGCCGCGGUAAUACAGAGGGUGCAAGCGUUAAUCGGAUUUACUGGGCGUAAAGCGCGCGUAGGUGGCCAAUUAAGUCAAAUGUGAAAUCCCCGAGCUUAACUUGGGAAUUGCAUUCGAUACUGGUUAGCUAGAGUAUGGGAGAGGAUGGUAGAAUUCCAGGUGUAGCGGUGAAAUGCGUAGAGAUCUGGAGGAAUACCGAUGGCGAAGGCAGCCAUCUGGCCUAAUACUGACACUGAGGUGCGAAAGCAUGGGGAGCAAACAGG
rnacentral:rRNA from 1 species